rnacentral:lncRNA from 1 species
CCGGCCUUCCCCGCUCCCCCGCGUCCUCCGCCGCCCGCCGCCCGUCCCUUCGGAAGCGCCGAUUCCUCGGGGAGGAGGAGGCGUGAGGGGAGGCGGCGGAGGCAGCCGGCACGGGGCGCUCGGGCCGCGGGGCAGGGGGCGCGGGGUGCCUCCUCGGCCUCGGCUCUCCCCGCCCCGGGGCGCCCCGAGACCGCCGCCUGCCUCCGCGGGCAGCUUUGUUCUUCUUUCCUCCAACUACCUGUCUGAGCCGCGGGCCCCAGAGGCCCCAAAGAGAGGCCCGGAGGGUCUCCCCAGCAGCAUCCGAGGGGCGCUCUCGGGGAGCUAGGGGCCAGAGUCCGCGGUCCCUCCGUGCCUGCCUCCCUCCCCUCGUGCCUCGGUCUUUUGUUGCCUCUACUCCUCGGCACGGCGCAGCCUGGGCUCUCUUCCCCCUCCCGCUUGGGAGUUUGCAGUGUGGACGCUCGGCAAGCACAGUUUUACUGAAGCACUGUUUGCAGAAAGCCUAGCGGGCUCAGAAAACCAGCCAUGCCAUGGUGGGAAGAAAGCCUUGCUGAGAUCCUGUGGCUGAAAACCAUCAUGGGCUUUUGCUUUCAGACUGCCCAUUGCCAACCGAUGCAGGCCCAGAGAAGCAAGGAGGAGUGCUGUUCUGGGAAGGCGGUGGGCACAUAGAUGGAGCUAGACUUGCGACUUCAGGCCCUCAGCAGCCACAUGAUCUUGCAGCUGUGGGCCAUGCACCUGCUUCUUGGGCCCAUGAUUAACCAGAUGUUCAGCUCCUUAAAGACAGACUUCGGGGCCCUUGGCUGGCAGGGGAUGCAAUCUGCAGAUGAGAAGCUCUGAGAAGCAGUUCUCAAAGCCAGGAUCCAGAGGCUCAGCCAUGUGAGUUUCCUGUGAGAGGGAAAAGGCAGGAGCAUAGAGGCCACUGAAGUUGUUCUCAAAAGCCCCAAGAUACCUUUGGUCUCAGUGGAGGCAUCCAGGACACAGCUGUCUUCACUUCUUCACUCAGUCAUUUAGAAAUUGUUCAGUGAGCACCCACCCUGUAUAAUUCACUGCUGCUGCAGCUGAGCUCAACAUGGUGUCAUCUAGGGGAGGAGCUUGAAGAGGUUGUGUUAAGGAAGAACCACGAGAGGAGUGCCCAGUUGGAUGUGACCCCGGAUGUGUAGGCAUCCAGGAGGCUGAAAGAAGGCUGACCCAGGGCCUGAUCACUUGACAAUGGACAUGCUACCUCACAGAGCAUAACACCACAACUAACACAUCCUGAGCCCUCAAUCAAUGUUGUGCAAUAAAGGAAUAAACCUGGAUGUCUUUCCUGUAACCAAACAUUGGACUAUUCAUCAACUGUGCACUUUUUGUUCCCCAACGAGCACAAGGGUUUGGACUGCACCAUCCCCACUCUUUCUUGACUCUCUCUGUACACCAUAAAUGCAUGGUUCAGGGUGAUUUUGCUGGGCAAGGGUGAUGGUUUGACUAUUUGUGUCCCUCCAAAAUUCAUGUUGACACUUAAUGCCCAUUGUGGUGGUAUUAAGAGGUAGAGACUUUCGGGAAGUGAGUAAGUCACGAGGCCUCUUUAUAAAAGAAGCUUCAGGCCAGGUGCAGUGGCUUAUGCAUGUAAUCCCAGUACUUUGACAGGCUGAGAUGAGAGGAUCAUUGAGCCUAGGAUUUCAAAACUAGCCUGGGCAACAUAAUGAGACCCUAUCUCUAUUAAAAGUAAAACAUUAGCUGGGCAUGGUGCGGUGCACCUGUAGUCUCAGCUACUUUGGAAGCUGAGGCAGGAGGAUCACUUGAGCCCAGGAGGUUGAGGCUGCAGUGAGCUAUGAUUGCACCACCGCACUUCGGCCUAGGCAACAGCGUGAGACCUUGUCACACACACACACACACACACACACACACACAAUAGUUUCAGACAAUAGCCUGGCCUGGCCUUCCCAUCUCUUCUGCUGUGAAAACACAACAUGCAUCCCUUUUUGCCUCUUCAGCACAUGAGGAUAUAGCAAAAAGGCCCAGGCCCUCAACAGGCACUGAAUCUGCUGGUACCUUGAUCUUGGACUUCAGAGCCUCCAGAACCAUAAGAAAUAAAUUUCUAUUCUUUAUAAAUUACUGAAUCUGUGGCAUUUUGUUACAGCAGCACAAACAGACUAGGACAGGGAGGUUGGGAGUGCACCGUGUGAUGUGUCUUUGCAAAGUCUACCCUGUACCAAGCUGACUGGCCCUAUGGGAUUUGUUAGCAACUAGCUGGGCCAGAUCAUUAGAAAACAAUUUGAAAUGCAGAAUGAGGAAUGGUGGCAAAUUUGGCUAUUUUUCUCAGGGUUUUGUUCAGCACCAUUUGCUGCCAUGCUACCAGCAUAGUGGUUUGUGUGGCCUGUACAUCCAGAAUACCUGGGUUCAAAUCCUGCUCCCUGCCUGUGUGAUCUUGAGCAGGUGAUAUGAGCUGCCUGUGCCAAGUUCCGCAUCUGUAAAGUGAGGGUGGUAAAAGGACCUACCUCGUAGAGUUGCUAUGAGAAUGAAGUAAGUUGGCGGGUGAAAAGGUGGUGAAUAUUCGUAUUAUUGAUGUUAUUAUCACUGUAAGCAGCAGUGGCAGCAGCUGCCAAGCCUCACAUUCCAACCUGAGAAUUUCCAAGAGAAGGCAGAUGAUCUUGUAAAACUCCAGGAAGUCACAUCUCUGAUUUCCAGCCCUCCUGUCUACAGAGCCAAACCUUUCCGCAGAACUCUCCCUGCUACCAUAAAAUGCUGCCUCCACAGAGGGAACCCUCCCCAGGCACAAGGCAGAUGGUUGCUCCGUUCCAUGUGGCCCCUCACUGCAGUGCAGUGAUGAUGUUUGGGCUGAGCAAAAGACUUCAGUGCUCAGAGGAGAAGGAGCAGGAGGCUUUGCCAGCUUCCAUUUGCAUGAGAAAAGAACUGAGAGGAGAGGGGAGAAGGGGGAAGAUGCUUGCUUCCUCCUUCCAUCUUGGCAUUCACAGAGCAGGCUGCAUUUGAACACUGCCGUGCUAUGUACAUUGGAUCCAUGCAAUGUUACAUAAGUAUUUCAUAAGGGACAAGGUGACUUUGUGUUUUUUUCACCUGUUCUUCUCCUCUGAUCCCAGAAGCUGGGAAGUAGGCUGGAUGCAGAGAAAAGAGCAUUGUUCUCAAGUCUGCUUCACUGCUUAAAGACUAAGAAGGAAAAAAAAUAGAAAGGAAAACAAGAAUCAUUGUCUCUUUUGUUUUCUCUUUAAAAUAUAAAAGGAACUCUGAAACCAAAGUUCGGAUGACAUCGUAUGACAUUUUCCUUUCCACAUGGAAAAAUUUUGAAUAAAAGAUCUGUUUUCUGGGUUGACACUUCUGGGCUCUUUCAAUCUCCAGUAGCAGCAAACUGCUGUCAUUUCUGGAAAUAAGGAUGGCAAGACUCAGGGGGUUAAUCUGCCUGAUUUUGCUCUCCAAGGGUGACAGCGUAAAGCUCUUUGGCUCUGCAUCCACAGUAAUAGCUGAGGGCAGCGCUGCCCAACAGAACUUUCUGUGGUGAUGGAAGCCUUCUCUAAUCUGUGCUGCACAUCUGGCAGCCACGAGCCACACGUGGCUAUUGAGCGCUGGAAGUGGGGCUGCUGUGACUGUGGAACUGAGUUAACUUCACUGUUAAUUUAAAUUUAAAUGGCCACGUGUGGUCUGUGGCUACAGUAUUGGCAGGUGCAUGAGAGCAAUAGCAAAACAAACUGUAAGUAGCAUCCACAGAUGUUGACUGAAUGCAUCACACAGAUAAGAUGGAAAAGGAAGAGCCUAAAAGUUCUGAAGAGUGAUGUUCCCCUUCCACAGGAGCAGUUUAUGUGUCAGUGGCAAUGAUGUUUUAUGAAUAUUUGGGAUGACCAUUUUCUGUUUCAUCUUUCAGCUGUGGGAGUAGCAGUCUACUUUAUUUCUUUUCAAUUUUUUUUUAGAGAUGGAGUCUUGCUAUGUUGCCCAGGGUGAUCUUGAACUCCUGGCCUCACAUGAUCCUCCUGCCUCAACCUCCCAAAGUGUUGGGAUUACAGGCAUGAACCACCAUGCCUAGCUCAGUCUACUUUUUUUAAAAGAGGAAUGAGAUCAAGAUCACAUUUCAAAAAAUAUGUUGUCUCCUAAAGUAAGUAAUAUUUCUACCUGGAAGCUCUUCCUUCAAGUCUAAAGUCAAAGGGAAAGACAAUAAUUUCUUCUAGGCUUUUGAGGUGAUGAUCAUGGGGUUUGCUUAGAUGUCAGAUCCACGAGUCACCCUAAAGCCUGAAGAGACAGAGUAGAUGGGAGCUGGUGUUGGGUGAACACUGGACUGGUCCCAGGGCUGCGGUUCUUGAUCAGUGUAAUGCAGGAAGGAGUCGCCAAUGUGGCCACGCUCCUGGUAGGGGUUCUUUGUAGGUACUAGAGGCUCAGUAGCUGUCCUGAGUCAAAAGACCAAAGAAAAAGGGAAGCCUCAAGGAGAGAUGAGAGGACAGCAGAUGAAAAUGAGCCUGCAGGAAACCAAGCUCUGAGGAGAAAUGGGCAGGCAGCCAAGAGCAGGGCAGAAACUGCAGCAGUAGCAGCGGCAGCAAUGAAGUCUCCAAGUUAUGAGUGGCAGGCUCUGAGAACAAUGAUGGAGCAGGAAGUUAAUGCAGAGGGCAGGCAGAGAGCCCCUGAGACGAUAAGCAAGAUGAGUGGAGAAAACCGACAGGACUUAGACCUGGGCAUGGGCAGCAGAGGACCUUAUCCCAGCAGCAGAGGGACUGGCAGUUAAUGACGAUGCUCGAACAUCUGCUAUACGUUGGGAAUUUUGCACGCAUUUAAUAUUUUGCAUGCAGAUAAUAUUAUUCCCAUUUUAUGAAUGAAUGAGCCCAGACUUAAAGUGCUGGAGGGAUUUAAUAUUCUCCUGGAUCUAUCUGCCUUGCUGGCUACUCCUUCAGGCUUCCUUUUGAGUUCAUUCUUCUCUUACCACGUCUGUAAAUGUUAGAAUUUUUUAAGGAAUGUUACACAGUUGAGUCGUCUUCUCUUCUCACCCCCUACUUACUCAGCACAGUAUAAACCACUCUCUGGGAACUCCAGAAUUUUGUCUCUAUCUGGAAUCUCCCCUAGGAAUGGCAAAAUUAACCUAAAGAAUGUACAAGGAAGGAAAAAAUAGACAUAAACCUAGGUAUUUUUAUUUUGUUAAUUAGAAAAGUAGAAAGAACAGAUAAUGAUUCCAAGAGUUGCUUUUCAUUUAACCAAUAAAAUAACAAACCCUUAACUGACCCAAUAAAGAAAAUGGGAGCAGUCACAAAAUUAGGAAUGAGAAAAUAUUUCAAGAGACCACUCUGCUCAAUGCUAUGUUGAAACUUUUGAAAACCUAAAUACCAAUUAAAUUUUUCCAGUAAAAUAUUUAUGACCAAGGUUUACUCUACAAGAGAGUCUACUACUAGAGUUGCCAGAAUUAGUAUACAGAAAUUUGAAUUUUAGAUAAAUAAUUUUUUAGUAUGUCUUACGCAACAGUUAGGACAUACUUUUACUAAAAAAAAAAAAAAGUCAUUGGUUGUUAUUCUGAAAUUCAAAUUUAAUUGGAAAUCCUGCAUUUUAACUGGCCGAUCUAUUAAAACAGAUAAAUUAUUGUGGAGAAACAAUAGGAACUUGUCAAAAGCUUUAAAAACAUCAAGAUCAGAAGUUUCAGGUAAAGCGUAUGAAUUAAAUUCAAGCAAUAUUUUCAACUCUAUUUAAAUGAUUCCAAAGCAUAAAAAAACAGCUUCUAAGACAUUUUUAUAAAGCUACAAAGACUGAAGUCAAACCUGACAAGGAGAGUUAAAAAAUGUGGGCAAAACAGUGGUGAAUAUUCAUGAUAAAAUCUUACUGUGAUAUUCACAAACAUGGGGGAAUGAUAUUUUCUUUAAAAUCGACAGACUUUUUAGAGAAAAAAGGCAGUUGAAGAAAUUAUCAACAGUGAUUUUACCAAGUUCUUUGUAUUUUUUCUCAGUCUUAACAUGCCUAUAUAUAUUAUGUACAUAAUUCUUAGCUGUAAGUCAUUUUUAUAAUAGAUGCUAUUUUCUGCAAGCCUCUCAAAUUAAAACCCAUUGUUCUGAAAGUACUAAUCAAUGCAAUUACAUAAGGGAAAAAAUGAGACAUAAAUACUUCAACCACGGAGGCAAAAUUAUUACUGUUUUCAAACAAUGUAGUUAUUUACCUAGAAACUGCAAAAGAAUCAAUUGGAGGAAUUCUGUUACCAGCAGAAGAUAGUUCAGUUAGGUGGAUUGGUUUCACAAUGAAUAUCCACAUUCAGUGGCAUUUCAGUAAACAAAUAGUAUUCAGCUAUAAAAUAUAAUGGAGCAAAUUAUCUCAUUUAUAAUAGCAUAAAAAAGAUAAUGUGCCUAGACAUAAAUUUAAUUAAAAAUAUAGGCUAGGUAUGUUGGCUCAUGCCCAUAAUCUCAAGACUUUGGAGGGCUGGAGGAUCCCUUGAACCCAAGAGUUUGAGACCGUGAGACCCCAACUCUACAAAAAAAUAAAAUUAGCUCGGCAUGGUGUGCAUGCCUGUCAUCUCAGCUAUUGUGGAGUCUGAGGCAGGAGGAUUGUUUGAGCCCAGGAGUUUGAGGCUGUAGAGAUCUGAUUGUGCCACUGCACUCCAGCCUGGGUGACAGAGUGAGACCCUAUCUCUAAAAAUAAAUGGGGGGCUAUUAAAUAAAACAACAACGUGUAACACUUCUUGAAGGACAAAAAAAAAAUAAAAAUAAAUAAGUAGAAAGACCUGUCAAAGACCUAUCAUAUUCUUGGGUAGGAAGAUUCAAUACUGUAAAUGCAUAAGUUUACCCUAAAUUAAAUCCAUAGAUCCAAUUUAAUCCUCAUCAAAAUGCCAACAGGCACUUUUAUAUCUUGAUAAAGUAUUAAAGUUACUUGGAAACAUAAGUUUGAGGAAACUCCAUAGACUCCCGUAUGCAAUAAUCCAUUAAUAACCCAGUAAUAUUGGGGAGGAUACACAAGAAGCUGUUUAUAAUAUUCACCUCUUAGCAGUGGAAGUGAGGGGUAAAGACUUGAGCCAAAGAUGUAUUUUCAUGUUAUACUCAUCUAUGCUAUUUGAAUUUUUCCACAGGUGCAAAUAUUACUUAUAUGAUUAAAAAUAGUUAUUUUAAAAGAACAUUUCCAUUAUAUUGAGUACUGAUUUGUAACCCUCUCUGCUCAUUAGAAUCAUAUAGGGAGCUUUGGAAAGACACCAGGUCUCAGCACUUGCCUCCAGAUUCUAAUUCAAUUUGGCUGUGUUAGGGCCCAGGCAAUGGCAUUUUUUACAAAAGUUCUCACUGAUUCUGAUGUGGAGCCAGGGCCGAGAGCCACCACUGUCAAGUAACCCAUGGCAGCAUUUUCCAACUUUUGGUCACAACCCUUCGGUUAGGAAAUCAACUUAAUGGCUUGGGACCAGAGUUAAAAACAAACAAACAACAACAACUGAAACCAACUCAAUUGAGCAGAAACUUGUGCAUGCCUGUUGUGUUUAAGACAUGUCUCUUUCUGGGGGAUGUCAUCCAAAACAUUGGAAAACCCCUACCUUAAGUGGUUCAGAUCUUUCAGACUUUCUGAGACAUUUUAUCAGAAUUUGUGUGAACUAUUAAAGGCUUUUUACUGUUUAAAAGUUAUAUUGUAAUUCUGACUUUUGUUCACGUAUUUGAUGAUUCAAUUAUUUAUUCAUUACAUAGUCAAAGGUAGAAAAUUACAUGUAAUUACUUGUGCUUAUCUGAUAAGCAUAGUGACUGAUGUAUGUAAAUGCUCAAUAUGUGAUGG